GACGAACGCUGGCGGCGUGCCUAACACAUGCAAGUCGAACGGAAAGACCCUGCUCUUGUGCGUUGCUCGAGUGCCGAGCAGGUGUGUAACACGCGUGUAUCCUGCCCCUGUCUGUGGGAGAUAUUCAGGAAACUGCGGCUCAUACCGGAUAGGAUCUCCUGCUGCACGGGGGUGGAUGGUAAGAUUCGGCGGUUCUGGCUGGACUGGCUGCUUACCCGCUUGAUGGGCGAGGAGUGGCUUACCAAGCCUUUGACGGGUAGCCCGCCUGAGAGGGGGACCGGCGACAUUGGGACUGAGAUACGGCCCAGACGGGUACGGGAGGCAACAGUGGGGAAUAUUGCACAAUGAGCGGAAGCCUGAUGCAGCAACGCUGCGUGCGGGAUAACGGCCUUCGGGUGGUAAACCACUUUCGCCUGUGACGAAGCGUGAGUGACGGUAAUGGGUAAAGAAGCACCGGCUAACUACGUG
rnacentral:rRNA from 1 species